rnacentral:rRNA from 1 species
CCUACGGGUGGCAGCAGUGGGGGAUAUUGCACAAUGGGGGGAACCCUGAUGCAGCGACGCCGCGUGAGCGAUGGAGUGCUUCGGCAUGUAAAGCCCUAUCAGCAGGGAAGAAAAUGACGGUACCUGACUAAUAAGCCCCGGCUAAAUUCGUGCCAGCAGCCGCGGGAAGACGUAGGGGGCAAGCGUUAUCCGGAUUUACUGGGUGUAAAGGGGGCGUAGGCGGGCUGGCAAGCCUGAUGUGAAAUACCGGGGCCCAACCCCGGGGCUGCAUUGGGAACUGCGAGGCUGGAGUGCCGGAGAGGCAGGCGGAAUUCCUAGUGUAGCGGUGAAAUGCGUAGAUAUUAGGAGGAACACCGGUGGCGAAGGCGGCCUGCUGGACUGCAACUGACGUUGAGGCCCGAAAGCGUGGGGAGCAAACAGGAUUAGAUACCCCGGUAGUC